GACUUGAUAGCGGAUGGUCCGCGCCUGCUUUCAUUGGGCUUGCGUGUCGAUGUUUAAGCAGGUAUUCUCGGUUCGAUUCCGGGUCGAGUCC